GCUUACGGCCAUACUACCCUGAAUACGCCGGAUCUCGGAAGCUAAGCAGGGUCGGGCCUGGUUAGUACUUGAAAGGGAGACCGCUGGGAAAUACCAGGUGUUGUAAGCA
ensembl:rRNA 5S_rRNA 5S ribosomal RNA